rnacentral:rRNA from 1 species
GAUGAACGCUAGCGAUAGGCUUAACACAUGCAAGUCGAGGGGCAGCACAAGGUAGCUUGCUCUCUGGGUGGCGACCGGCGCACGGGUGCGUAACGCGUAUGCAACUUGCCCUAUACAGGAGGAUAACCCGUCGAAAGACGGACUAAUACUGCGUAUGCUCACAACUUGGCAUCAAGUGGUGAGGAAAGAAAUUCGGUAUAGGAUAGGCAUGCGUCCCAUUAGCUUGUUGGUGAGGUAACGGCUCACCAAGGCAACGAUGGGUAGGGGAACUGAGAGGUUUAUCCCCCACACUGGUACUGAGACACGGACCAGACUCCUACGGGAGGCAGCAGUGAGGAAUAUUGGUCAAUGGGCGCGAGCCUGAACCAGCCAAGUCGCGUGAAGGAUGACUGUCUUAUGGAUUGUAAACUUCUUUUAUACGGGAAUAACAAGAGUCACGUGUGACUCCCUGCAUGUACCGUAUGAAUAAGCAUCGGCUAACACCGUG